AUACGGUGAAUACGUUCCCGGACCUUGUACACACCGCCCGUCAAGCCAUGGAAGCCGGGUGUACCUAAAGUCGAUAACCGUAAGGAGUCGCCUAGGGUAAAACUAGUAACUGGGGCU
rnacentral:rRNA from 1 species